UCGCUAUCUAAUUAGACACUUUUCCUCAACCGCAAGUACCUCUAAUCUAAUUGCUCUGCGUCAUCCCCUUCACCUCCACCCUAACAUUUUCCCUCUUCCACCACCGUCUCCGGCAUCGCUCUGCCACGCAUCUACCCAUCACCUCAGCAAUCGCGAACAAAGUGCAGGAUUCUCAAAUAUUUUGUAUAUAUUGAAGCCGUCUAGGGGAGGAUUCUCAAAUAUCUUUUACUGCUCAACUCAACGGAAGGCUUGUUUAACCUUGCCCUGCAUUUAAGUGAAGUCGGUGCAUUCUUCUUGAUAGCAAAGUUGUGGGCUGACAUGAAGUUGGGCAUGCUUAAAGGCUGAAGAUCGUCACUUCAGUCUUCCUUGUAUCUGUGGUUUUAUAAAGGCAAGUACUUUCUUGUUGAUGCGGGUUAUGCAAAUAGCUCCGGUUUCUUAGCUCCAUAUAGGGGAGUUAGAUAUCAUCUUAGCGAGUGGUCUGCUAGUGGGAGGAAGCCUCAAAAUUUUAAAGAGUUAUUCAA